rnacentral:rRNA from 1 species
UACGUAGGGGGCUAGCGUUGUCUGGAUUUAUUGGGCGUAAAGAGCGUGUAGGCGGCCAGGUAGGUCUGGUGUGAAAACUCGAGGCUUAACCUCGAGAUGUCAUCGGAAACCAUCUGGCUAGAGUCCGGAAGAGGAGAGUGGAAUUCCUGGUGUAGCGGUGAAAUGCGCAGAUAUCAGGAAGAACACCAAUGGCGAAGGCAGCUCUCUGGGACGGUACUGACGCUGAGACGCGAAAGCGUGGGGAGCGAACAGG